CGCUGCGCCGCGCCGCACCGGCGGACGUUUGCCCGGCAGAGGCGCGCGGGACGGCCUCGAGGGUCAGCUGUUGGUUACCCCGCGGAGUGCCACGCGUCUGCUCUCGUGGUGCCCCGUUGUUGGGGGGGAGUGAGAAGGAGAAAGGCAGAGCAGAGAGCGCGCAACGCGGUCGCCGUGGCAACGCGGUUGAGUGGGCGUUUCGCCGAGCGUCGCCGUCAGAGGUAGUCGGCGAGCUCACGUCCACAUGGCGAAGCCGGCUUACCGUGCCCGAUCCGGAGCCCCGCGGUGCCCCCCGAAAUGGCAAUCGAUACAAAGAGCUCAAUAGCGCUAUCUGAUAGAGCACAUUCUGAGCUAAUAUUUUUCACUAUUUUUCAACGCAGUCACCACCAUUACCUACAUUUUCAUCAGCAAUGAGCAAAAGCCUGCAUGACUGGUAAAAAUGGAGAUGGAUUAUUGUUGCUGUCUCCACUCCUGAGAUGCACCACCGUUGCAUCACUGUGAUCACAUCCCCAUAAGAUUCAGAGGGCAUCUAUGAAUGUCAAUGGGUCCCAUUUUUUUUCACAUGGAGGAAUUCAAUGACACACUUUUUCUUCAUACACUCUUCCACAUCAGACGCCAUUCUGUCAGACUGUCCCACUGCUGCCAUCUGUUGCACAGCGACAAAAUGUAAGGGAAUAUUGGCAGGAAGGCUCAACCUCUGCUGCCAUACCACCCACAUCCACCUCUGAUGUACUGUGCCAAUGUAAUAAGAUAGGUUGCUUCUCAGGAAGCCCUUGUAGAUAUAUGCCUAUAGGUAGAUGUGACAUAUGCUGAUGUGAGUGGUGCAUGUUCAGGUCUUGGAGCUCCUGGGAAGCUCUCAGUUUUUUAACAACUUCGUUCUCACCUGGAAUCUGGGAGGUAACAAAAAAUAAGGUUGCACAUGGACAGUAAAGAUAAAAAUAUGAAGAUUAAGAUAUAUCUGCAUUAUAGCUGUAUUUCUCAUUCACAGGGCAUUUAACUCUUCCUCCAAAAAUAGAGGUUCUGUACUGUGGCAGUUUCUCUAGGAAGAGUGCACAAGAAAGACCUUACGUUAAAUGUGGACUUUUUCUUGCUAUGUUAUGUUCACUUAAUUAAGGGGAUUAUUGCACUUCUGCAAAUGAAUUAUAUCAUAGAAUCAUAGAACUGCUUGGGUUGGAAGGGCCCACCCAGUUCCUACAUGCUCCACUAUGGGUGUUGCCACCCACCAUAUCAGGCUGCCCAUGGCCCAUCCAGCCUGGCCUUGAACACCUUUAGGGAUGGGACGUCCACAGCUUCUCUGGGAAGCCUGUGUCAGUGCCUCAUCACUCUUUCUGAACAAUUUCCCCCUAACAUCUAGUCUAAAUCUCUUCUCUUCAUGGCACUCCUCUGUUCUCGCUCCAACAGCUUCAUGUCCUUGUGCUGAGGGCUCCAUUCCUGGACACAGUACUGCAGGUAGAGCCUCAAGAGCAAAGAGGGACAAUCACCUCCCUCAUGCUGCUGGCUAUCCCUUUUUUUUCACACAGCUCAGGAUACAGUUGGACUUCCAGGCUGUAAAUGCUCACUGCUAGCUCAUGUCAAGCUUCUCAUCCACCAGAAGAAUCAUAGAAUCAUUAAGGUUGGAAAGUACCUCCAGGAUCAUCUACUCCAGCCAUCAACCCAUCACUGCCAUGCCCACUAAACCAUGUCCCUCAGUGCUGCAUCUACCCUUUUCUUGAUGAUGACUCCACCACUUCCCCGGGCAGCCUGUUCCAAGGUGCUACCACUCUGUCUAAGAAGAAAUUCUUCCUAAUUUCUUUCUAAUCUAAACUGAACCUCCCGUGGUGCAACUUGAAGCCAUUACCUCUUGUCCUGUCACUAGCCACCUGGGAGAAGAGGCCUUAGUCCCACCUUUGUACAACCUCCUGUCAAGCAGUUGUGGAAAGCAAUAGGUUCUCACCUGAGCCUUCUCUUCGCCAGACUAAACAAUCCCAGUUUAUUCAGCUGCUCCUUGUAAGCCUUGUGCUCCAGAUCCCUCACCAACUUCAUUGUCCUUCUCUGUACAUGCUCCAGUGCCUCAGUGUCUGUCUUGUUAGUGAGGGGCCCAAAACUGAGCACACUACUCAAAGUGUGGCUUCACCAGUGCCAAGUACAGAGGUAUAAUCAUCUCCCUGUUCCUGCUGACUACAGGCCAGGAUGCCAUUGGUCUUCUUGGCCACCUGGGUACACUGCUGGUUCAUGUUCAGCCAGUUGUCAACUAACAUCCCCAUAUUCUUUUCUUCUAUACAAGUUUCCAGCCACUCUGCCCCAAACAUGGGGUGUUAUGUGUGGUUACUGUGGAUGAAGUGCAGGACUCAGCACUUGGCCAUGUUGAACCCAAUAUGAUUUUCCUUGUUUUUCAUCCCUGAGAACAAUUGUUCACAAAUGUAUGUACUGCCAGAAGUGGUAAUGUGAAUAAGGCAUGAUUAUAAAGUGAGGGAUGUUUUUCUCUGGUAAGAUAGUUCUUAUGGAAGUCUAAUAAAGAGGCAUGAUCAAAUUUUUGAGUUGAGUAUCUGAUUGCAGCUCUAUACCUUCCAUGUGAAAUUGUGCAUGUAAUGUGAUUAUGUCAACUGAAAAUGGAGUUGGAAAUUUACAAAAAAUGGAUUUUAUUCAGCAAUCUUAACCCUAUUCUCAAAUUAUUUUAACAAAAUGGAAAGUGCUGCAUAUUUUUCACUGUUCAUAGGGCUGUGUUUAGCCAGUGUAUCAAAAUAGAAUUAUUUGCCAGAACUUGAGUUACUACUCCAUUGUGCCCACCCCUGUGCCCUGGUUUCAGCCCAGACAGUGCCAGUCACACACUAACAUCUAGUUAUUGUUGAGCCAUGGGUACAUGCCUGGGGCUGGGCUGGCCCACUCGGCUGGGCAGAGCCACCAUCAUGCUGGUUCAGAACAGGGCGUGGCCACAGUACAGGCUGUGCCAGGCUUCGUGUAGCCCACAGGCCAUGGGAUGGACAUUCCUGGACUAAAUGAACUUCACAGACUACUUGGAGGGGUGCUCCACAGACUGUGGUAAUGAUAUGUGUUAAGCCACAGUGAAUGGGGACCCACCAGAAUGCCUUGACAUCACAAUAAGGUGUGCCUCACAAUGCCUGGGUGAGCCCUGAAGCCUACAUGGCACCUGUGGGACUGCUGUGGGAAAGAAGAUCAACAACAGCCAUGAUUUGAUGAAGUGCAUCCAGAUCAUUCAACAUGCUAGAAACUGAUGUAGAGAUCAAGAUGACUCCUGCAUACUGUGAUGUGAAUAGUGAAUUACAGAGAUAAAAGUCUCCUAAUUUCCCAUGUGCUGCCUGCAAGUGAUAUCUGUCAUGCGUUUAAAUUUGGAAGGAAUUCAGCUACUUACUUGAAACUUUGGUGGGACUGGAGUUUGACCUGUGGGCUUUUUGAGUAGAUGGAGAUGUUCAUCUGUUCUUUUGAAUAUGGAAAUGCUUCAGAGAAUGCAUGGUUAUAUGCUUUCAUAACAACUACAUCUGUAAGUCAUAGUAAGAAUAAUAUGCAGAAUAGAAACCCUAGUAUUAGUAUUUCAUGCUUGGUUAUGUACCUUUGUUUCAGAACUUUUGAUAAGACCAGGUGAUCGUAAAAUUUUGAAGCAAGUAUGUCAGGAUGACAGCUGUCCAUUUUCAUCUUUUCAUAUACAGGCCUUGUGUUCUCACUCAUCUCUUUCAUUUUCAUACUUUAUAAAUUCUUCUAGUGUCUGUUCUUGCUACGGCUCACAGUUUCCCAAAUCAGCAAUUGCA
ensembl:lncRNA